GUGGGUAUAGCUCAGUGGCAGAGUGCACGCUUAGCAUGCACGAGGUCCUGGGUUCAAUCCCCAGUACUUACA
rnacentral:tRNA from 1 species